CACAUUCCUUGUGGGGAGGGAACACUGCUUGGCAGAAUAAUUCCAGCACGUCCUUGCUUGAAGUAACCAUCUUCUCCUGCCCCUUUAGCUCCUGCUGGUCCUGCCUGGCUUUGUGCUCAACAAGCAGGGACUUAACAGAGUGCAAACAUGAGUGCACGUUUGCAGUGAAUAUGAUCACAUUCGUCAUGGGGAGCUGUAUGUGUACAGAACGCAUCUUGCUGGGUGUGAUGGUGCACACCUGUACUCCCAGGCUUCAGGAGGCUGAAGCAGGAGCAUUGCUGAAAGUUCAAGUUGCCUCUCAGCAGUGUCCUGAGUUCCUGGCUGGCCUGCAGGACAGCGACUCCGAGCCUUCAUUGUGCCAUCCAGAGCUUCAAAUGGAACCAAGCCCAUCCUUAGCCUCUUGGGUGUUUUACUACAGACUUAGGAUGGGCUGUUAGGUAAUUCUCUUCAUCCUAUUACAGAAAGCUCGGGGCUGCGAAGAAGCUGAUAAUAAUUAAUUCAUUGUCGGUCGCACUUCCUCCCAAGCAGGGACAAGCUGGUCGGUCGUGUGGAAUAACGGACCCAGUAUGGCAAGGCAGGUUUCAGGGUCUUCUCACCACACGUUGCUCACCCUGCACUUCUCACACGGCCAACUAUUUACCGGGCAUCAGCUCCCCCCUGCUGGAUCGCCUAUAGCACCCCGGACCCUAGCUCAUGGGAGGAAGCCAGGUGAGGGGCCCAGCUGGCUUCCGCAACAGCUCCUUUUCAUUCCGCGUGUUCGUCUGCCUGUGGGAACCAGUGACUGAGAAAUAAAACAUUUAUCAUUCAUCACUUGUGAGACUGGAAAUG
rnacentral:lncRNA from 1 species